UACGGGGGGGGCAAGCGUUGUUCGGAAUUACUGGGCGUAAAGGGCUCGUAGGCGGCCAACUAAGUCAGACGUGAAAGCCCCCGGCUUACCCGGGGAUCUGCAUCCCAAACUGCUUGGCUUGAGUACGGGAGAGGAUAGGGGAAUUCCUGGUGUAGCGGUGAAAUGCGUAGAUAUCAGGAGGAACACCGGUGGCGAAGGCGGGUCUCUGGACAGUUCCUGACGCUGAGGCACGAAGGCUAGGGGAGCAAACGGG
rnacentral:rRNA from 1 species